rnacentral:rRNA from 1 species
GAUGAACGCUGGCGGCGUGCCUAAUACAUGCAAGUCGAGCGAACGGACGAGAAGCUUGCUUCUCUGAUGUUAGCGGCGGACGGGUGAGUAACACGUGGAUAACCUACCUAUAAGACUGGGAUAACUUCGGGAAACCGUAGCUAAUACCGGAUAAUAUUUUGAACCGCAUGGUUCAAAAGUGAAAGACGGUCUUGCUGUCACUUAUAGAUGGAUCCGCGCUGCAUUAGCUAGUUGGUAAGGUAACUGCUUACCAAGGCAACGAUGCAUAGCCGACCUGAGAGGGUGAUCGGCCACACUGGAACUGAGACACGGUCCAGACUCCUACGGGAGGCAGCAGUAGGGAAUCUUCCGGAAUGGGCGAAAGCCUGACGGAGCAACGCCGCGUGAGUGAUGAAGGUCUUCGGAUCGUAAAACUCUGUUAUUAGGGAAGAACAUAUGUGCAAGUAACUGUGCACAUCUUGACGGUACCUAAUCAGAAAGCCACGGCUAACUACGUG